ACCCUUCUGUUUAUCAAGUUGAGCUGGAAUAAGAGAAAAACUAUUUUUUCAUGUUCUGGUGGUCUGAACGGUAGUGAGAGUAGAUUUUUGUACCUUGAUUUUGGAUUCUAUGUUGCAUCGAGCAGUCGAAAUGAAAAUAAAUUUACGCUGAGUCUUUCUUUUUAGUUGAGGCGUGUUAAUGAUGGAACCUCGAGGGCCUCGAGAGCUUGACGACACCUUCUGUUGUAAGGUGCUGUCAAGGUUGAUUAACGAGAGUAAAGAGGACCGCCAGGAGGCCUCGCCUCCGGCGGUUUAGUCACGGGUGUUGUAGCAGGAGAGGUUAACUGAGGAAGGAAACGACACACAUUUGGAGGAGGAGGAGUAAAAGGAAGUGAUGUACGCAUUACUAGGGUAGGUGUAGGGAGGAUCAAAGUUUAGAUGGGUAUGUUUGAGAGAAACUACUUUGUGAGCAGAGUGGUAUGUUGUCUGCAAGUAUCGAUAGGUAGAGAGAGAGUUUUCUUUUUAAAUUUAGUGAUGGGCAAACACCCCGUAGUUAUCCCAAUGAGGAGAAAAAGGGAUACUAAACUCAAGAUAGUGAGAGACUGAAGAGGAAAGGAGGGAAGAAAGAUAGGAAAGAGAGAAAGAAGAAAAAGACUGGGACGUACCAUUAAAAUAGUCGUUGUUUUCAUUUAUGAGGGUAUAGUAACCGGCAUAAGACCAGUCGGUCGGAACGGCGUUGACGGGGACUCUCACGGAGGUCAUGCGGACCGAACUUGUUGUUGUACAGGACGUAUAAAAAAAGCGGUUGCCGUCGUUGUAAUCUUCGUUGUUGGCCGUCCUACUCGGGGACCAAGGGAGCCUAACGGCGCAGCUUGUACGACGGCAAUCGUACGUGAUCUCGGCCACUACCUCAUUUGCAGUGGUGAGCCGCGAGUUCGUGUACCGGGAGGACCGGCACGAAUCGUGGUUACCUUCUCGGCGGGGGGUGGAGGAAAGGGACCGGGCGGACCGGUCUCUCUCGUCUCCCGGAGUCUUCUCAAACGACCAGGAGGACUGGUCUUGAUCGCGGACCCACCUCGCCGCAACCUCGGGGUAUUUGGGCCGGGAGGACCGGCUCGCACUGCGGGAGGACCCAACCGGGUGGUUAAAGGCGUCGUCAUCCGCAGCAACAGAAGCAUCACUCGUAUAGGCACUGGCACUCCAAUCGGUGCCGAAACCAGUGGAACUGGUGUGAGAAAAGGCGUCGAGAUCUCAUCGACAACGACAACCUCGGCCACUUGUUUUCACAAGAAAAUGAACGGGGACAAGGGAAGGUUAUACGGAGAUGUGAUUCUAAGAAACCUUUUCUUUGUUGGGAAAAUAGGAAUCCAUAUGAUGUCAUCGCGAGACUCCAUACAGGAUGUUAGGGUGUUGUGAGUGUCAUGUUUCCUUCAAAGAGUAUAGAUUGUAGUAUGAAAUGUGAGAGUCUUGAUGGGUUUCCUCACUUAAGAUGAGAACAGAAUUCUCCAAGUACGUCUCCUUAAAGGUGGGAAUAUGCGUCUAUAAAGAGAUGUUAAUUCACUAGAGAUACCCUUUGUCGUUAGUGUAGGGGUUAAACAAGAGGAUUUCAGGUCGGGUACGCGAGUUAAAACUCAAGUUUUAGAUCUAGUGCUUGGACGUGGGUAUAACCGUAAUGCGGUUCCAGUUGGAGACGACCCAAAGGGAACGGCAGCUUGAGCCGCUUCUACUGAGGUAGUGCGAAUACCACGGUACCGACCCGGAAGUUUUACUUGGCGGCCAGGAGGAGCCGCCUUUUCAAGUCCUACUUGGAGGGCAGGAGCGACCGGUGUAGAACUUGUCACUGACAAGGCACGUCGGAGGUACGACUUGUUCGGGCUUCGAGUAGCUGCUACUGGACGCCCAAGUGAACCUUCCCGCUUUGUUCGGAGGGGUGGUGGGCACUAGGUGGCUAUCGGAAGGCGCGCCGGAGGUACAGCUAUUAGUCUCGGCUCGGUAGCGGUGCCCCCGCAGAGCCGUAGCUGAAGGGGAAUGAGAGUCCCCAGUACCUUCCCCGUCACCGGUGGAAGUAGGGGUCGACCACCUCUCUCCUAAGUCGACGGCACCGUCGGCAGUAGUGGGAGCCGGGGAGAGGUGAGCGUCCACAAAAGGGGUUUUGUAGCGAGUGUGAGGGAGGGACUGGGCGGUACUGUAAGAGGGGAGCUAGUGCCGUUCACCAUUUUUCUUGUCUUUUGUCUACUUGGACGUGACCGUUCUCGUUACCGCACCUGACUGGAGAGAGACAUGGUGUUUAUAUCGUACGGUCCUUGGGGGAGGUGGGGCAUAGUUUUUGCCUCAACUACGAUUAUUAGUACUCAUUAUGUGGUAUUUACUAGUCAAAGGAUUAUUGAUGUCGUUUUUAUCGAGGGAAAAGGAGUUUUCCUAGUGGUUGCCGUUCUUGUUGUUAGCCCCGUAGUUAGUCGAGGGCGACUACUGAGGAUAACAUUAGACCUGUCCUACUUUUGGGCAAAUAAAGAUGUUUAUGACGGAAUCUUAGGGCUCGCCUCUAAUGAGAUAAAGGGGGGUUAUAUUCUUUCAGGAGUGAAAGGUUUCUUAACUUGGUUCCGUACCGAUGUGGUGCGACUUUGGAGAGCGACUUAGGAUGGUGUGAACUCACGGGAAGGUUUUAUAGUUGGCGUCAAAGGUUUAGGGGUAAUGUCGGUUGCGUUAAAAGCCUUAGUCGGUUUAGGCGUCUUUGGCCUGGUUGUUCGCCAGGUCUUCUAGCCUAGUUAGGAGGGGGACUUCCUUAUUUCCCCCAGAGUGGAAAGCUUAAUGGUUUUUAGAGCCUGUGAGAAGAGGAGCUUUAGAGGUCCGUCGAAGAAGCUAGGCGGCGGGGCACAUCAUAGGCGAAGCUAGAACGAGCUUAGAGGAGGGUUAGAGAGCGCGACUUCUCCGGGGGCUACUCCAGGUGAGAUCCCCCUAGCUGGGGAGGAGGGCCGAAACGGCGGCCGAGGCAGCGGCGGUAGUGUGCACGAGAGAGCGGCGGCGGCGGCCUAGCGGAAGUGCUAGCGCCCUCGGGGGGGCCCCCCCCCCACAAACAUUUUCAAUGGAUCAGGGGCAAGCAUUCAUGAUCGGGUAUCGGGAAGUAGAGGACGGAAGUGCGUGCAUUUGCAUGUCCGUGUUCAUGUCUUUCCUUCUCGGUGUGGUUACUUACUUAGAGGGAGGGAACUUGAGAUGGUAACUAAAAUGGAUUAGCGACACACCACGCGCGCGCGAUAGUUGGCGCGACCUUGCCGGCGUGGUGUCGGCAGGUAGAGUGCGCGGGCGUGUCGGUGCACCCAACCAGCUGGUUGGUCCCCGCUGGUCUACCAAAAGGAGGUAGGAGGGCAAGGGUAGGGGGUGAGGUGAGGGGUGACGCGGCCACUGCUCGCUAUGGGGUUUAGGGGGUGCUUUAGGGAUCCCGAAGCGCCGCUCGAUCGGCCGCUGCUCAGUUAACUGCCUCUUUCCUCUGGGGGUCGCUUCCUAAGGCGGGUCGUAGGCUGCCCACUCCCGCCGUGCGCGCACGGUCUCUUCCUCCUCUUCCUUCGUAGCUGCCACUUCCUCUUCUUCCUUCGCUGCUUCGAGACGCGCUUCGCUGCCUACGGGGCCUCUGCGCUAUAGGACGACUAAGUUGCGGGGUUCCAGACAAAUUGGAUACAAGGGGAGCAGGGUGUAGAGCACCAACGACCCCAAAGCAGCGGCUGCGGGAGUAGCAGUAGUUGCUGGCGUGCUCGCUUAGUUUACCUCUCUAUCCCAGCCCCAUCCCCAUCCCCCUACACGAGGUCUCGAAAAAAAGUACGGUAAACCCUACGCCGUACGAAACAAAAGGAGAAGGUCAUGCAUCCGUAUUGUCAAAACUCCUACAAAAAAGACAUCCGUUGAUUUGUGUCUAUUCAUACGUUUAUUCGCAACACAAAAAACGUCCGUUUAGUCUUUAUCUCCUAUCCGUUAUGAUACACAAAAGCGUCCGUUUAGUGUCUAUUCAUACGUUUAUUCACCACACAAACAACGUCCGUUUAGUCUUUAUCUCUUAUCCGUUAUGACACACAAAAAGCGUCCGUUUAGUCUAUCUUCUCAUCCGGUUAUUCGUCAAACCUUACUACACCCAAAAACAUCCAAUAGUCUAUCUCCCAUCCAUCCGUUAUUAGUCAAAUACCUUAUCCGCAAGGACAUAAAAACCAAAAUCCCUUUAUUAUAUCUUCCAUUCGUCCGUUAAAAACCAACCGGCUCAGGAGGUCGUCCGUGUUGAUCGUUUCUCGAAGUCCAAUCACCCACGAAAAAACCGUGGACUACCUGUAUCGAAGUCACUACUCUAAUGUACGUAUCAUCGACGUGUACCUUCUCACGAGGUCGAAACCCCGAAGGGAAAAAGAAGACUUUAGACCCGCGACGAAGUAGCCGUGAGACUUAAACGACUUGAGCCGAAAAGAGGCUCUGGUCAAGGGGAGCUAGUCACCGUCGUCGCUCGUUCUUCUGUUUCCUCGCACGAGGUACAAUUAGGAUCACACGAACCCCACCGACUAUGCGGUGACAGCAACAAAACUAAAGGUUCAGCAGAUACAAGUAGAAACAUCUUUUAAAGUCUGUACGAGAAAACAAAGAGAGGAGGCUAUAAAUAUGUGUUCAUCCGUUAAAAACCAAUGAAAAACAUGCACAAGCUACUUGACCUACAUAGUUAAUUGGCGUCGGUGAAAAGGUAGGCCAAUCUUACGUAAGAGCUAUGUUACAGUCCUCGAAACUGAUCCACUUAAGAUAGACGUAAAGUGGAACUCAGACGUAAGGUGUAAAAUGGUCGAAGUAAGACGUAAAAGAUCGAAUCGCACUACUUAAGUGUCCACAGACGUGUUCGUACAAUUCACCUAUUUACGUGUCUAAGAAAUAGAAUCGGAGAAAAAUUCGAUGGAUAAAAAGACUGUAAGUGGGUAUGACUCUUUAGACAAUAUAUCAAGUACGUGAUCGUUCAUCAUUUUCUACUCCUCGAACUACUAUCACUAAAUAUCCAGACCUUAUAUAAAAAAGAGCAAACACGGAUUCGUUGCUAACUCUCCGACGUAGAAAAUGGGAAAAAAUCUAGAGCUGACUACGUAUACAGUCUUUAUAAUACAGUUAACCAACAGAGAAAAUUUAACAUGCUACAAAACAUACGGAAACUGCCAUCAUUGUACGUAGUACACACAUCAGCUACAACUACGAGUUAUUGCCUAUCCUGACUAUUGAUCGUUUUGUGUGCAUAAAAGAAAACGACACGAAUUAAACAUAUGUAUGUACUACGAAAAAAGGCUACUUUGGCUGUUACUACUCUUCAUCACUUAAGACUUAAGUGCUACGAAAUUGCAGCCGUUCCAAACGACGAAGCUCAUCAGCCGUUUCCCCAAAAAGGUGUGGACAAAAGAUUUAGUAUAAAGUAAAGUUUACGUCCGUUUUUGGUUUUCACUUUUUGAUGCCCCCUCCCGUAGAAAAAGUCAUUGGGAGCUCACCAUCAAAAAUACUACCUACUGAUGGGUCUAGUUGUCUUACCGCUCUUCGUUGCACGUUCGGUUAUUUGUACUACACAAAAGUUCUCCGUCAUCAAAAGGAAGUACGGUUGUUAUAAAAGUCAAGACGUCCACAUCCCCCCUCCGUUCUUGUCCCCCUGUUCUAAGUACAGUCCAAGACGUUGUUGUUAAGUCAUGUCCCCGUUUAAAACGUUCGUCAUCUAGUUCCCCAUCCAUGUAUUUCCCUUUAUGUGAUCAAGAUCUUGUUGGUUCCUACAACCGUCUAAAUUACCAUACAAAACGGAACUAAUGGAAACAACAGCAGAAGGGACCCUCAAAAAAACGGGUCGAAACCGUUAAAGUAACGGGUGUUAAAGAGGUUUAAUAACGGACUAGUCGUUCAAAAACAUCUGUAUUAACGUCAAAAAGGGGUCUAAAAACGAGCUAAAAAAGAGGAAGGGGACGACACAAAAGGCAACACCCUCCCCUCGAGAGGUUGGUGAUUCGGUACCGCACGCCGCAGCCUUCUUCUACAACGUGCCCCCUGCGACGACCCGCAUCCCAAAGGGACCACCGCCCCGUCUUCGCUCUAGUGCACUUUUCCCAACAAAAUAAACCGCACUGCACCGUUGCUGUCUCCUCCACAUGGACGGAAAAAAAUCGUGCACCCACCCUGGUUAUGCCCCUUUGAAAGGAAUUGAAUUCCGGCGAUCUAGUCGGGCGUGUCGCGCGCCCGCGAGACAUCGUAGCAGGAACUAAAAUUAAUAACAUUUUUAUGAUUUUUUAACACGUACGUUUGAUAAAAAGCGAAAUAGUUUAAACCCCAAGGAUAAAAAAAGCAAAUGGCGGAUCCCGAAGGGCGCAAAGACGACCUAUUAAAAGCGAGGUACAUUAGGAAGGCGUAGAAAAGGGGUGGGGUGCGGCGGUAGAGGGGUGGAGGCCUAGCCAAGGUUAGAUGCAGCCGUGGACGGGUAGGGCACGCGGCGGGUAAGGGUGUAUGCCGCACCUACGUCGGAGUGGGUUCACGAUUGGAGGCGGCGCUCGAGGCCGGAGGCGACCACUGAAGGAAAAGAGGAGGCGGUUACUAGAACGGUCAACCUCGGGGCAGCCGCAGACUGAAGGAGCGGCAGUUGUUCGGUGCGAGGAGUGCCUGCAGUAACAGUGGCAGUGGUUCAACGUAGGUACGGCUCCAGUAGGAGCCCGUCUUCGAGGCGGCGCGCAACGCAGCGAUUUGGCAGGAGCCCGUCGAGAGCCGUGCCAGGUUAUAGAAGUCUGAAGGCGGGGCAGUUCGUC
rnacentral:rRNA from 1 species